rnacentral:rRNA from 1 species
CUACGGGAGGCAGCAGUGGGGAAUAUUGGACAAUGGGCGAAAGCCUGAUCCAGCAAUGCCGCGUGAGUGAUGAAGGCCUUAGGGUUGUAAAGCUCUUUUACCCGGGAUGAUAAUGACAGUACCGGGAGAAUAAGCCCCGGCUAACUCCGUGCCAGCAGCCGCGGUAAUACGGAGGGGGCUAGCGUUGUUCGGAAUUACUGGGCGUAAAGCGCACGUAGGCGGCUUUGUAAGUUAGAGGUGAAAGCCCGGGGCUCAACUCCGGAAUUGCCUUUAAGACUGCAUCGCUAGAAUUGUGGAGAGGUAAGUGGAAUUCCGAGUGUAGAGGUGAAAUUCGUAGAUAUUCGGAAGAACACCAGUGGCGAAGGCGACUUACUGGACACAUAUUGACGCUGAGGUGCGAAAGCGUGGGGAGCAAACAGGAUUAGAUACCCCGGUAGC